AUUGAACGCUGGCGGCAGGCCUAACACAUGCAAGUCGAGCGGAGCGGCGGACGGGUGCGUAAUGCCUAGGAAUCGGCCUGGGAGUGGGGGAUAGCGACCGGAAACGGGCGCUAAUACCGCAUACUAUCAGAUGAGCCUAGGUGGGAUUAGCUAGUUGGUGGGGUAAAGGCUUACUAAGGCGACGAUCCGUAACUGGUCUGAGAGGAUGAUCAGUCACACUGGAACUGAGACACGGUCCAGACUCCUACGGGAGGCAGCAGUGGGGAAUAUUGGACAAUGGGCGAAAGCCUGAUGCAGCCAUGCCGCGUGUGUGAAGAAGGUCUUCGGGUUGUAAAGCACUUUCAGUUGGGAGGCGUUACCAACAGAAUAAGCACCGGCUAACUCCGUGCCAGCAGCCGCGGUAAUAC
rnacentral:rRNA from 1 species